rnacentral:lncRNA from 1 species
CACAUUGAUGUGAGCUGAGAAGCCGAGUCGUGCAGUCAUUGACUAUCCUUCGUCACCCUGUAAAGUGGCUUAAGUGAGAUCCUGUCUCGGAGGCACCGGCUUCUCUCCUUCCUCGUGUGCAGGUGUUUCCACAGCAUCCUGUAUACACCUUCUGCAGGUUCUCAAGGGUCGCAGUGCCUCAGUUGUCUUUCCUGAUUCAGGAUUAUGGAAUCCCAGCUGUUGUUACAAAGGAAGUCAAGUCUGCAUUGCCUCCUAUCCCUCAGAUGGUAUCAUCAUCAUUAAUCCUGAAGCUAGACAAAGGUAAAGUCCAUGAGUGACAACUACCCACUUCUUCUCUCACUGAAUGCAGAAAUGAUUUGGAAAGAAGCACAGUAGUCUUAAUGGCGAUGAAAUCCUUAGUUUCUGACAAGGAGCUGCCGUCUCUUUGG